rnacentral:ncRNA from 2 species
GGUCAUGAGUAUCAGCGACAAGCCCCGGCUCGCUGAUCGGCAACCCUCCAACCGCGGUGGGGUGCUCCGGGUGAUGACCAGGCCAGCGGUUUUUCGCCGCGGCAAGCGCGGGUC